AGAGUUUGAUCAUGGCUCAGGACGAACGCUGGCGGCGUGCCUAACACAUGCAAGUCGAACGAAGCUCCUGCGAAGAUUCUUCGGAUGAAACAAGGGAAGACUUAGUGGCGGACGGGUGAGUAACGCGUGAGCAACCUGCCUUUCAGAGGGGGAUAACAGUUGGAAACGACUGCUAAUACCGCAUAACGUAUAGAUGUCGCAUGGCAUUUGUACCAAAGCUGAGGCGCUGAAAGAUGGGCUCGCGUCCGAUUAGAUAGUUGGUGGGGUAACGGCCUACCAAGUCGACGAUCGGUAGCCGGACUGAGAGGUUGAACGGCCACAUUGGGACUGAGACACGGCCCAGACUCCUACGGGAGGCAGCAGUGGGGGAUAUUGCACAAUGGGCGAAAGCCUGAUGCAGCAACGCCGCGUGAGGGAAGACGGUUUUCGGAUUGUAAACCUCUGUCUUUGGUGAAGAAGGAAGUGACGGUAGCCAAGGAGGAAGCCACGGCUAACUACGUGCCAGCAGCCGCGGUAAUACGUAGGUGGCAAGCGUUGUCCGGAAUUACUGGGUGUAAAGGGAGCGCAGGCGGGAUGGCAAGUUGGAUGUGAAAUACCGCAGCUCAACUGCGGAGCUGCAUCCAAAACUGUCGUUCUUGAGUGGAGUAGAGGCAGGCGGAAUUCCGAGUGUAGCGGUGAAAUGCGUAGAUAUUCGGAGGAACACCAGUGGCGAAGGCGGCCUGCUGGGCUCUUACUGACGCUGAGGCUCGAAAGUGUGGGGGAGCAAACAGGAUUAGAUACCCUGGUAGUCCACACUGUAAACGAUGAUUGCUAGGUGUGGGUGGACUGACCCCAUCCGUGCCGGAGUUAACGCAAUAAGCAAUCCACCUGGGGAGUACGGCCGCAAGGUUGAAACUCAAAGGAAUUGACGGGGGCCCGCACAAGCAGUGGAUUAUGUGGUUUAAUUCGAAGCAACGCGAAGAACCUUACCAGGUCUUGACAUCCGACUAACGAGAUAGAGAUAUGUCAGGUGCCCUUCGGGGAAAGUCGAGACAGGUGGUGCAUGGUUGUCGUCAGCUCGUGUCGUGAGAUGUUGGGUUAAGUCCCAUAACGAGCGCAACCCUUGCUGUCAGUUACCAGCACGCAAUGGUGGGGACUCUGACAGGACUGCCACCGCAAGGUGAGAGGAAGGCGGGGAUGACGUCAAAUCAGCACGGCCCUUACGUCCGGGGCGACACACGUGUUACAAUGGUGACUACAGAGGGAUGCCACCCAGCGAUGGGGAGCGGAUCUCGAAAAGUCAUCUCAGUUCGGAUUGGAGUCUGCAACUCGACUCCAUGAAGCUGGAUUCGCUAGUAAUCGCGCAUCAGCCAUGGCGCGGUGAAUACGUUCCCGGGCCUUGUACACACCGCCCGUCAAGCCAUGAAAGCUGGGGGUGCCUGAAGUUCGUGACCGCAAGGAGCGACCUAGGGCAAAACUGGUAAUUGGGGCUAAGUCGUAACAAGGUAACC
rnacentral:rRNA from 1 species